GUGCUCGCUUCAGCAGCACAUAUACUAAAAUUGGAACUAUACAGAGAAGAUUAGGAUGGCCCUAGCGCAAGGGUGACACGAAAAUUUGUAAAAUGAAAUGGGUUUGA